rnacentral:rRNA from 1 species
ACACACGUUAAAGAAGCGAAAUGCACAGACCGUACCGUCUAUACGAGCCUUGACAAGUGACUUACAACCGGUAGCGUUGGAUCCCUUGGCACGCCGAUCGAUGAAGACCGUUGCAAACUGCGAUAAGUGGUGUGAUGCGCAAGUCUAAAACUUAUAAGUGAAUCAUCGAAUCGUUGAACGCACUGCACCUGUCCUAUCCGGACCGGUAUGCCCCUUUGAGCGUCAUUAAACCUUCGGCACCCGCCGGGUUCGGGGUCCACCCCUGCCGUCUUUGCGGCGGGGGCGUUCCCUCAGAUGCAUUGCGAGGGCCGAGCCCGACGACCGCGUCCACCGUGUCAUGAGACAUGCGCGGCGGUGCGGCGAACGGGAGGCGCCCGGGACGUCGUCCGCAGAGAGACCGUCCGAAGCACACCCUUUUUUAAAUGUGACCUCACUGGGGUAAGACUACCCGCUAGACUUAAGCAUAUUAAUCAGCGGAGGAAAAGAAACUAACAAGGAUUCCCUCAGUAACUGCGAGUGAAGCGGGAUGAGCU